AGAUUGAACGCUGGCGGCAGGCCUAACACAUGCAAGUCGAGCGGUAGAGAGGUGCUUGCACCUCUUGAGAGCGGCGGACGGGUGAGUAAUGCCUAGGAAUCUGCCUAGUGGUGGGGGAUAACGUUCGGAAACGGACGCUAAUACCGCAUACGUCCUACGGGAGAAAGCGGGGGACCUUCGGGCCUCGCGCCAUUAGAUGAGCCUAGGUCGGAUUAGCUAGUUGGUGAGGUAAUGGCUCACCAAGGCGACGAUCCGUAACUGGUCUGAGAGGAUGAUCAGUCACACUGGAACUGAGACACGGUCCAGACUCCUACGGGAGCAGCAG
rnacentral:rRNA from 1 species